AUUGAACGCUGGCGGAAUGCUUUACACAUGCAAGUCGAACGGCAGCACGGGGCAACCUGGUGGCGAGUGGCGAACGGGUGAGUAAUACAUCGGAACGUGCCCAAUCGUGGGGGAUAACGUAGCGAAAGUUACGCUAAUACCGCAUACGAUCUACGGAUGAAAGCGGGGGAUCGCAAGACCUCGCGCGAAUGGAGCGGCCGAUGUCAGAUUAGGUAGUUGGUGGGGUAAAGGCCCACCAAGCCAACGAUCUGUAGCUGGUCUGGGAGGACGACCAGCCACACUGGGACUGAGACACGGCCCAGACUCCUACGGGAGGCAGCAGUGGGGAAUUUUGGACAAUGGGCGCAAGCCUGAUCCAGCCAUUCCGCGUGCAGGAUGAAGGCCUUCGGGUUGUAAACUGCUUUUGUACGGAACGAAAUCGCACGGGCUAAUACCCUGUGUGGAUGACGGUACCGGAAUAAGAAGCACCGGCUAACUACGUGCCAGCCGCCGCGGUAAAAC
rnacentral:rRNA from 1 species